UAAGUCCUUUGAUGAAUCCUU
rnacentral:piRNA from 1 species